rnacentral:rRNA from 1 species
UUGGGAAUAUUGCACAAUGGACGCAAGUCUGAUGCAGCGACGCCGCGUGAAGGAAGAAGGCCUUCGGGUUGUAAACUUCUUUUCUCUGGGAAGAUUAUGACGGUACCAGAGGAAUAAGGACCGGCUAACUACGUGCCAGAAGCCUCGGUGAUACGUAGGGUCCAAGCGUUAUCCGGAAUUAUUGGGCGUAAAGCGCUCGUAGGUGGUUUUGUUCGUUUCGCGUAAAAUCUUCAGGCUCAACUUGGAGUUCGCGCGAAAGACAGCAAAACUGGAAUCUGGCAGGGGUCAGCGGAAUUGGCGGUGUAGCGGUGAAAUGCGUUGAUAUCGCCAAGAACACCAAUGGCGAAGGCAGCUGACUAGGCUAGUAUUGACACUGAGGAGCGAAAGCGUGGGGAGCGAACAGG